rnacentral:rRNA from 1 species
UAUUUAGUUAGUAAUGAAAUGUUAUUCGUUUUUAAAUAUAUCUGGUUUUUUUAGAAAUAAAUUUAAUUUAGUUUAAUUUAUAUAAUUGGUUUAAUUUUUAAUUAGUUUUAUGGUUAAAAUAAUGUAUUAGGGGAUGAGCUUUAAUAUUGAAUAUUAUAAAUAAGUUGGAUAUAAAAAUUUAAUAGGAUUAGAAGUUUCCAUUUUUAGAAGGGUGUUAUAACUUAUUUUGUAGAAAGUUUUAUUUUUAUUUAUUUUAAGUUGUUUAUAAAAAUGUAGUUGUAAAUUUUAAUUGAUUAGUAAUAAUGGUGGAAUUAGUAUAUGAAUAUAUAAUAUUAAUGUGGAUAUUUAAGGUUAACUAAAGGAAUUCGGCAAAUAAUUUUUUACCUGUUUAUUAAAAACAUGGCCUUUUGAUCAUGAUUUAAGGUCUAGCCUGCCCACUGAGUUUUUAAAUGGCCGCGGUACUCU